GAUGAACGCUGGCGGCGUGCCUAAUGCAUGCAAGUCGAGCGAACAGACGAGGAGCUUGCUCCUCUGACGUUAGCGGCGGACGGGUGAGUCACACGUGGAUAACCUACCUAUAAGACUGGGAUAACUUCGGGAAACCGGCGCUAAUACCGGAUAAUAUAUUGAACCGCAUGGUUCAAUAGUGAAAGACGGUUUUGCUGUCACUUAUAGAUGGAUCCGCGCCGCAUUAGCUAGUUGGUAAGGUAACGGCUUACCAAGGCAACGAUGCGUAGCCGACCUGAGAGGGUGAUCGGCCACACGGGAACUGAGACACGGUCCAGACUCCUGCGGGAGGCAGCAGUAGGGAAUCUUCCGCAAUGGGGGAGAGCCUGACGGAGCAACGCCGCGUGAGUGAUGAAGGUCCUCGGAUCGUAAAACUCUGUUAUUAGGGAAGAACAAAUGUGUAAGUAACUAUGCACGUCUUGACGGUACCUAAUCAGAAAGCCACGGCUAACUACGUG
rnacentral:rRNA from 1 species